ACCUUCUGUAGUGUAGUUGGUAGUGCCUUGGCUUAGUAGUAAGUCCCAGGUUCCAGGUUCAAGUCCCGGCAGGGGUA